AUGAACAAAGUUGUAUCCGAAGCAGCUACCAAAGCCUCCAUUGGAAAUAUUGAUGCAUGUGUGGCUGAUAUUGAUAAGGAUUUACUUGCCGAUGCAGCUCUUCCUGUGCCUGACCAUAUGCCUGAAGAGGAUCACUUUUGGUAUGAUAAGGAACAUCCCGUGAUAGAGGAAGGAUCCUUAUUUCGUUCAAUGAAAGAGUAUAGGAUGUUCCUGAGAACAUUUGCUAUUAGGGGCAAGUUUGACAUUAAAAUCAAGGAUAGUGACACCACUAGAUUUAUGGGUCAUUGUAAACAAAAUGGAUGCCCUUGGAGAAGAACAGCUCGAACGAGAGAAGAUGGAAAAACAGUGAGGGUUAACAAGAUAGUAAAGCCUCAUAAGUGUUCAUCAACUGCUAAAGUGACUACAAGUAUGGCAGACCAAGCAUGGGUGGCGGAAAAGGCAAUUGGCAUACUUCAGGCUGAACCAAACAUUGGUGGCACUGAGUUGCUAAAAAAGCUCCAAGCCGCGUACAAAUGUACUAUCGGGUAUCAUACUGUUCAAAACGGAAAAGAAAGGGCCACUAAUAUGUUAUAUGGGACAUGGGGAAAGAGCUUUCAGAACUUACUGAACUUCAAAGUUGAGAAUUGA
rnacentral:rRNA from 1 species